AUUGAACGCUGGCGGAAUGCUUUACACAUGCAAGUCGAACGGCAGCACGGACUUCGGUCUGGUGGCGAGUGGCGAACGGGUGAGUAAUGUAUCGGAACGUGCCCAGUCGUGGGGGAUAACGUAGUGAAAAUUACGCUAAUACCGCAUACGAUCUAUGGAUGAAAGCGGGGGAUCGCAAGAACUCGCGCGAUUGGAGCGGCCGAUAUCAGAUUAGGUAGUUGGUGGGGUAAAGGCCCACCAAGCCAACGAUCUGUAGCUGGUCUGAGAGGACGACCUGCCACACUGGAACUGAGACACGGUCCAGACUCCUACGGGAGGCAGCAGUGGGGAAUUUUGGACAAUGGGCGAAAGCCUGAUCCAGCCAUUCCGCGUGCAGGAUGAAGGCCCUCGGGUUGUAAACUGCUUUUGUACAGAACGAAAAGGUUUCUACUAAUACUAGGAGCUCAUGACGGUACUGUAAGAAUAAGCACCGGCUAACUACGUGCCAGCAGCCGCAGUAA
rnacentral:rRNA from 1 species